rnacentral:ncRNA from 22 species
UAUUCCAGUCAGUGAGGUUUCCUUGUAAUUCGGGGAAUUGGCCCCGGAGUAUCCACGACCCGACCUAAUCGGGUGUAUCCAGGGAAAGCAAGAAGUGUUUU